rnacentral:SRP_RNA from 1 species
GCCAGGCAUGUUGGCAUAUGCCUGUAAUCCCAGCUACUCAGGAGGCUGAGGCAGGAGAAUUGCUUGAACCCAGGAGGCGGAGGUUGCAGUGAGCUGACAUCGCGCCACUGCACUCCACCCUGGGUAACAGAGCGAGACUCUGUUUCAA